GCUGUGAGGUGUGAGUUCUGAGCUCUGAGCUCUGAGUUGUGAGUUGUGGAUUGUGAGUUGUGUCAGGUGGUUUUUGUGGGAGAUGCCAGCAAUGCGGAAAUCUCCCAAAUGACAGAAGUAGCUGCAUUAAAUCGCUUCCUCCGAGGUCCUAGCAUCCCCGCGAUAAUCCUUACAGCCCAGGCGAUCACCACACUUACCAAUGAAGCAGCGGACAUCGUAGCUGGUGCCAAUGGGUGCUCCGUAGUAGCGCUUGGCGGGCACCAACUGGACACUGGGUGGGGCGUAGGAGGACAGCGAGAGGGUGAAGGGAUGGGCUCCAUCGCCCAGGCGCUUCAUCAGGGCCUCCUGAAAUGGCAAAAACA